ACCGGGAUGUUCAUAACCCUUUGUUGUCCGACUCUGUUGCCUCCGGGGCGACCCUGCCUUCGGGCGGGGGCUCCGGGUGGACACUUCAAACUCUUGCGUAACUUUGCAGUCUGAGUAAACUUAAUUAAUAAAUUAAAACUUUUAACAACGGAUCUCUUGGUUCUGGCAUCGAUGAAGAACGCAGCGAAAUGCGAUAAGUAAUGUGAAUUGCAGAAUUCAGUGAAUCAUCGAAUCUUUGAACGCACAUUGCGCCCCCUGGUAUUCCGGGGGGCAUGCCUGUUCGAGCGUCAUUUCACCACUCAAGCCUCGCUUGGUAUUGGGCAACGCGGUCCGCCGCGUGCCUCAAAUCGACCGGCUGGGUCUUCUGUCCCCUAAGCGUUGUGGAAACUAUUCGCUAAAGGGUGUUCGGGAGGCUACGCCGUAAAACAACCCCAUUUCUAAGGUUGACCUCGGAUCAGGUAGGGAUACCCGCUGAAC
rnacentral:rRNA from 1 species